rnacentral:rRNA from 1 species
ACGCCUUGUCAUCUUUAUAUCUCCACCUGUGCACCUUUUGUAGACCCUUCCAGGUCUAUGUUGCUUCAUUUACCCCCAAUGCAUGUUAAUAGAAUGUUGUGCCUGUAAAAUAAAUACAACUUUCAGCAACGGAUCUCUUGGCUCUCGCAUCGAUGAAGAACGCAGCGAAAUGCGAUAAGUAAUGUGAAUUGCAGAAUUCAGUGAAUCAUCGAAUCUUUGAACGCACCUUGCGCUCCUUGGUAUUCCGAGGAGCAUGCCUGUUUGAGUGUCAUUAAUAUCUAUAUCAACCUUCUCUUGUAGAGUGUGGUUUGGAUGUGGGGGUUUGCUGGCCUCUUUGAAGGUGUCAGCUCCCCUGAAAUGCAUUAGCGGAACAACCUCGUUCAUUGGUGUGAUAACUAUCUACGCUAUUGGAUGUGAGGGACAGUUCAGCCGUCUAACAGUCCUCGGACAAUUUAUCAUCAUUAAUGUGACCUCAAAUCAGGUAGGACUACCCGCUGAACUUAAGCAUAUCAAUAAGCG